GACGAACGCUGGCGGCGUGCUUAACACAUGCAAGUCGAACGGAAAGGCCCCAGCUUGCUGGGGUACUCGAGUGGCGAACGGGUGAGUAACACGUGGGUGAUCUGCCCUGCACUCUGGGAUAAGCCUGGGAAACUGGGUCUAAUACCGGAUAGGACCGUGCUUUAGUGUGUGCGGUGGAAAGUUUUUCGGUGCAGGAUGAGCCCGCGGCCUAUCAGCUUGUUGGUGGGGUAGUGGCCUACCAAGGCGGCGACGGGUAGCCGGCCUGAGAGGGUGUACGGCCACAUUGGGACUGAGACACGGCCCAGACUCCUACGGGAGGCAGCAGUGGGGAAUAUUGCACAAUGGGCGCAAGCCUGAUGCAGCGACGCCGCGUGGGGGAUGACGGCCUUCGGGUUGUAAACCCCUUUCGGCAGGGACGAAGCUUUUGUGACGGUACCUGCAUAAGAAGCACCGGCUAACUACGUG
rnacentral:rRNA from 1 species